rnacentral:rRNA from 1 species
CCUACGGGAGGCAGCAGUAGGGAAUAUUCCGCAAUGGGCGAAAGCCUGACGCAGCGACGCCGCGUGAGGGAUGAAGGUCUUCGGAUCGUAAAACUCUGUUAGCAGGGAAGAACGGUCACUGUGCUAAUCAGCCGUGACUUGACGGUACCUGCAAAGGAAGCACCGGCUAACUCCGUGCCAGCAGCCGCGGUAAUACGGAGGGUGCGAGCGUUAAUCGGAAUUAUUGGGCGUAAAGCGCUCGUAGGCGGUAUGUUAAGUCAAGGGUGAAAUCCCAGGGCUCAACGGGGGAAGUGCAUUUGAAACUGGCAAACUGGAGUGUAGGAGAGGAUAGUGGAAUUCCAGGUGUAGGGGUGAAAUGCGUAGAUAUAUGGAGGAACAUCAGUGGCGAAGGCGACUAUCUGGCAUGUAACUGACGCUGAGGUGCGAAAGCGUGGGUAGCAAACAGGAUUAGAUACCCCGGUAGUC